UACAGAGGCCUCGAGCGUUAGGCGGAAUCACUGGGCUUAAAGCGUGUGUAGGCGGACUUCUAAGUACCUUGUGAAAUCCCACGGCUUACCCGUGGAACGGCUGGGUAUACUGGUUGUCUUGAGCCACUUAGGGGCUACCGGAACAAAUGGUGGAGCGGUGAAAUGUGUAGAUAUCAUUUGGAACGCCAAAGGUGAAAACAGACAGCUGGGGAUGUGCUGACGCUGAGACACGAAAGCCAGGGGAGCGAACGGG
rnacentral:rRNA from 1 species